UACGUAGGGGGCCAGCGUUGUCCGGAAUCAUUGGGCGUAAAGCGCGUGUAGGCGGUUCGGUAAGUCCGCUGUGAAAGUCGGGGGCUCAACCCUCGGAUGCCGGUGGAUACUGUCGGGCUUGAGUACGGAAGAGGCGAGUGGAAUUCCUGGUGUAGCGGUGAAAUGCGCAGAUAUCAGGAGGAACACCAAUUGCGAAGGCAGCUCGCUGGGACGUUACUGACGCUGAGACGCGAAAGCGUGGGGAGCAAACAGG
rnacentral:rRNA from 1 species